rnacentral:lncRNA from 1 species
AUGAGGGUGACCAACAGAAACUGAAGAAGGCAAGAAGACGGAUUCUCCCCUCAGUGGCUACAGAAGUAACCAGCCUCGCUGACACCUCAGUUUUGAGCCUGGCUUAAAUGUCUUAGAAUAUGAGGUCACUGAAGAUUCUGGCCAAGUAUGGGGAACUGGUACAACUGUAAAGUUUUCAUGAAGGCCUACCUGUCCCUGGAGGCCUGAGUCAACUGCCUCAUCCUCAGUGGGAAGCAGAAUGUAGGUGGGAAAGAAGAGCUCUGAAAUUACCUGGACCUGAUCCUGAUCCCUGGCUGCACUCCUGCUCUAUGCCUGAGAUGAUUCUAUUUCCUUUUAUCCUCUCAACAAGCCUGCAGAGAAUGGACUGUUAGUCCCACUUUACACAUGUGGAAUUUAGGGCUUAGAAAAUGAAAUGACUUGUCCAAGGUCCCAGAGUUAGGAAGCAGAGGUUCCCUAACCCUAUCUCUGUCUGCCUUGAAACCAAGGUUGCAGGUAUUGGUUGUUGAAGACAAAUUGAUGUACCUCACUUUUUGCAAUUAAGACCACUUGUAUCUUUUAAAAUUCAUGCCCUGAGUUAACUUUGACUCUUCCCUGUUCCUCACCUGCCAUAUCUGUCCUCUCUAUUCCACAGUUACCUUCUUCCCUUUAACCCUCCAGACUUGGCCUUAUAAAUAGGAAUAGUGAAAUAGGAGCUUUCAUCUUCCUAUUGAAUAGGAGCCAGAUGGAGGUAGCAUCACAUGCUGAUUACGUAGCUUACUUGCUGUUCAACCUCGGGCAAGUAAAUUAUUUCAAAUCUCUGAAGCCUUGGAUUUUAUAUCUGUACUUUGGAUAAUGAAACUUAUCUCACAGGGUUUUAAUAAGCAUUGAUUGAAAUAAUAGAUGCAAAGUACUCAGCACAGGAACCAGUCAAUCAGUUAUAGUCCGAACUGUUAAGCCCCAGGAUUUGAGCUUUUUCCCCAAACAGUACCAGUCAAUGGUAUUGUUAUCCCCAUUUUAAAGACAAAGAAAAUGAAACGCAGGGAGGUUAAGCAACAUAUUCAAGAGUAAGUAGGUGAUGGGGCAGAGAUACAAAGCCAGGCCCAAGGGGCUGCACAGCCUCUACUUUUUCCAUUAUAAGUCUCUUUGCUGGACUUCUGAAGUGGUUUUCCAAAAGACCCAGCUCCUCUCCCUACUUUGCAAGAGCAUCUUGCUACAGUGUAAACCUAACCUUAUCAUUCCCUUGCUCUGUG